CCUACGGGAGGCAGCAGUGAGGAAUAUUGGUCAAUGGACGCGAGUCUGAACCAGCCAAGCAGCGUGAAGGAUGACGGCCCUAUGGGUUGUAAACUUCUUUUAUAUGGGAAUAAAAUGUUCCACGUGUGGGAUUUUGUAUGUACCGUAUGAAUAAGGAUCGGCUAACUCCGUGCCAGCAGCCGCGGUAAUACGGAGGAUCCGAGCGUUAUCCGGAUUUAUUGGGUUUAAAGGGAGCGUAGGUGGUUUGAUAAGUCAGAUGUGAAAGUUUGCGGCUCAACCGCGAAACUGCAUUUGAUACUGGUAGUCUAGAGUACAGUAGCGGUAGGCGGAAUGCGUGGUGUAGCGGUGAAAUGCUUAGAGAUCACGAAGAACACCGAUUGCGAAGGCAGCUCACUGGACUGCAACUGACACUGAGGCUCGAAAGUGUGGGUAUCAAACAGGAUUAGAUACCCCAGUAGUC
rnacentral:rRNA from 1 species